UCUUUCAGUUCCUUUGGUGACUCCUUUGAUGUCUCUUCUUGUUCAUCUUCAGUACUGUGAGAAAGAAAAGACUGAAUAAAUACUCUCUAAGGGUCAGCUCUGAAAUCAGUUAAAGACUCUAUACGACCGUGAGCAAAUUCAUGAGAAAAUCAACAGAGCACAGGAACUUUGCUGGGAGGUUUGGACGAGGCUGUCCCUCAGGAUCCCCCCAGCUCUAAACAUCUGUGAUCCAAUAGAAGAAAGUGAAGGGAAGUGAUUCUCAAGAAAUCUUCCCUAAGGGCUUAUUACCAGAGACUUGAGGUUGGGC